UGAAGAGUUUGAUCAUGGCUCAGAUUGAACGCUGGCGGCAGGCCUAACACAUGCAAGUCGAACGGUAACAGGAAGCAGCUUGCUGCUUUGCUGACGAGUGGCGGACGGGUGAGUAAUGUCUGGGAAACUGCCUGAUGGAGGGGGAUAACUACUGGAAACGGUGGCUAAUACCGCAUAACGUCGCAAGACCAAAGAGGGGGACCUUCGGGCCUCUUGCCAUCAGAUGUGCCCAGAUGGGAUUAGCUUGUUGGUGAGGUAACGGCUCACCAAGGCGACGAUCCCUAGCUGGUCUGAGAGGAUGACCAGCCACACUGGAACUGAGACACGGUCCAGACUCCUACGGGAGGCAGCAGUGGGGAAUAUUGCACAAUGGGCGCAAGCCUGAUGCAGCCAUGCCGCGUGUAUGAAGAAGGCCUUCGGGUUGUAAAGUACUUUCAGCGGGGAGGAAGGUGUUGUGGUUAAUAACCACAGCAAUUGACGUUACCCGCAGAAGAAGCACCGGCUAACUCCGUGCCAGCAGCCGCGGUAAUACGGAGGGUGCAAGCGUUAAUCGGAAUUACUGGGCGUAAAGCGCACGCAGGCGGUCUGUCAAGUCGGAUGUGAAAUCCCCGGGCUCAACCUGGGAACUGCAUUCGAAACUGGCAGGCUUGAGUCUUGUAGAGGGGGGUAGAAUUCCAGGUGUAGCGGUGAAAUGCGUAGAGAUCUGGAGGAAUACCGGUGGCGAAGGCGGCCCCCUGGACAAAGACUGACGCUCAGGUGCGAAAGCGUGGGGAGCAAACAGGAUUAGAUACCCUGGUAGUCCACGCCGUAAACGAUGUCUACUUGGAGGUUGUGCCCUUGAGGCGUGGCUUCCGGAGCUAACGCGUUAAGUAGACCGCCUGGGGAGUACGGCCGCAAGGUUAAAACUCAAAUGAAUUGACGGGGGCCCGCACAAGCGGUGGAGCAUGUGGUUUAAUUCGAUGCAACGCGAAGAACCUUACCUGGUCUUGACAUCCACAGAACUUUCCAGAGAUGGAUUGGUGCCUUCGGG
rnacentral:rRNA from 1 species